GACGAACGCUGGCGGCGUGCCUAACACAUGCAAGUCGAACGAAAAGACGAUAACCUUGCUGCGUUAAUGUGAGCGGCGGUGGGGAGAGUAACGCGUGGAUACCCCUCCUAUAAGUCUGAUAUAACUACGGAAAACCGGAUAAAAUAGGAGAUCAUAUUUUGCACCGCAGGGGGCGUCAGAAAAAGUCGGUGUUUGGGGCUCUUCUCGAGGCUUUCGCGCUGCAUUAGCUAGUUGGGAGGGUAACGGCCUACCAAGGCAACGAUGCAUAGCCGACCUGAGAGGGUGAUAGGCCACCCUGGAACUGAGACACGGUCCAGACUCCUACGGGAGGCAGCAGUGGGGAAUAUUGCGCAAUGGGGGAAAGCCUGACGCAGCAACGCCGCGUGAGUGAUGAAGGCCUUCGGUUCGUAAAGCCCUGUUUUGGGGGAAGAACAGAUGUGGAGUUAAACGAGGCGCGCGUGACGGUAACUAAUCAAGAAGCCACGGCUAACUACGUG
rnacentral:rRNA from 1 species